UACGUAGGGCGCAAGCGUUGUCCGGAAUUAUUGGGCGUAAAGAGCUCGUAGGUGGCGUGUCGCGUCUGCCGUGAAAGCCCAUGGCUUAACUGUGGGUCUGCGGUGGAUACGGGCAGGCUGGAGGCUGGUAGGGGCAAGCGGAAUUCCUGGUGUAGCGGUGAAAUGCGCAGAUAUCAGGAAGAACACCGAUGGCGAAGGCAGUUCUCUGGGACGGUACUGACGCUGAGACGCGAAAGCGUGGGGAGCGAACAGG
rnacentral:rRNA from 1 species